GCUUCUCGUCAAACCUUCAGCACAAAAAAAGAGAAGGCGUGACUGUAAUUGAUUGCCAAAUAUUGUCAUUGGUCCAAUUGUUGUAUCCGGAAGCAAAGCAUGAGACACUCGCACGUACAAUAAAUUCGGGAGCAGCGUGACGACAUUUCUUUGGAAGUUGAACGACCUGAUGUGAUCUUUCACAAGUCACGUUAACUUUUGAUCCUUGGAUGUCCAAAACAGAGGACAUCAGCAAAUGUCUUUUGGUCCCACCAUGGAGACGCUUGCUUUGCUUGGCCAUUGCUGCGGUCACCUUGACCUGCCUGCUGCUUGUCUCUCUCCCCACCUCAACAUUUGUCAUUAGUAAGCGAAAAACAAUCUUGCCUGCCGUCUGGCCACUCACUUGGCCAGGGCAGAAUUUUCCAAGCCUUGAGCAGACUUUGCUUCUUCACUCCGACGCCAUCGGCUCCAAGACGGCUCGACGUCCUGCUAACGCGAGGUCAAGAAUCGCCCGAGUCGGGUCUGAAGGGCAAAGGGUAGGAAACGAUUGAAAUGAAUGAAGGUGCGCUGAGCCAUCUCUUGCUACAAGGAGCUCCGCCUCCAUCUUGAGUCAUCAUCGAAAGAGAGAAGGCUUACGAUGUGACCUCAGCAGCGGGGAGCAACCAACCAAUUCCAAUGGCGCACACCUGAAAAGACGGACGGGCCAGCAUGACGGAGGGCGUUUGUGUCCACUGCACCUGCUGCACCGUAACAAAACGAACAGCAGAGGGCGCCCUCGCUUAAGACGGCUGGCUCACAACCACACCAUUUAUGAAGAGCAAAAAAACGUUGGAGUGCAUCAACAGACUUUUAUUCAAGUGGUCUGAUGACAAAAGAAGGCAAAAUGAAAUAAAGUUCGGCCACCAGUGAUGA